CUGCAGCCAAUUAGGCCACCAGGUUCCUUUCUUCAGGGGGGCCUGGUAUGCAAUGGCUGCAAACAGCCUCCUCCUCGGCAGUGUGGGCAGUCUGUUGCCUAUCUGAGCCGUCCUAAGGGACUUUGGAGACAGUU
ensembl:snoRNA SNORA70 Small nucleolar RNA SNORA70